GAUGAAGAACGCAGCAAAAUGCGAUAAGUAAUGUGAAUUGCAGAAUUCAGUGAAUCAUCGAAUCUUUGAACGCACAUUGCGCCCGCUGGUAUUCCGGCGGGCAUGCCUGUUCGAGCGUCAUUUCAACCCUCAAGCCCCCCGGGUUUGGUGUUGGGGAUCGGCUCUGCCUCACGGCGGUGCCGCCCCCGAAAUACAUUGGCGGUCUCGCUGCAGCCUCCAUUGCGUAGUAGCACACCUCGCACCGGAGCGCAGCGCGGCCACGCCGUAAAACCCCCGACUUUCUGAGUUUGACCUCGAAUCAGGUAGGAAUACCCGCUGAACUUAAGCAUAUCAAUAAGCGGAGGA
rnacentral:misc_RNA from 1 species